UGCCAGCCGCCGCGGUAAUACAGAGGGUGCAAGCGUUAAUCGGACUGACUGGGCGUAAAGGGCGUGUAGGUGGUUCAUUAAGUGAGAUGUGAAAGCCCCGGGCUUAACCCGGGAUGUGCAUCUGAUACUGGUGGACUAGAGUACAGGAGAGGGAAGUGGAAUUUCCGGUGUAGCGGUGAAAUGCGUAGAUAUCGGAAGGAACACCAGCGGUGAAGACGGCUUUCUGGCCUGAUACUGACACUGAGACGCGAAAGCGUGGGUAGCGAACAGGAUUAGAUA
rnacentral:rRNA from 1 species